rnacentral:sRNA from 1 species
AUGUCGUUAAAAAUUGCUUGGUCUCGGUAUCAUAGCCAACAGAUACAAAAGAGAGCGAAUAUUCGCAGCUCUUUCUUCUCACUUCUGAAAAAUAUCUACAAAAUUAUUAACCGAAAAACCAGAAAAAAAGAAAAAGCAAAAAAUUGAAAAACCGCCAUGGCAAAAUCUCUCUUCGUCUGCAUCUCUCUCCUCCUCCUCCUCCGCCUCACCUCCCAAACCACUGACCCGAGCACCCCGAACCGAAACUCAAUUUCAAGCCCAUCUCCGGCCCACACCGAGCUCACCAACUACGGCUUCCCAAUUGGCCUCCUCCCCACCGCCGUCAAGAACUACACCAUCAACCGCACCACCGGCGACUUCAUCGUCGACCUCGGCGGCGCGUGCAAGGUAACCCUCCCUCCUGACAACUACCUGGCCACCUACUCGAAGAAAAUCACCGGAAAGAUCGUCGAGGGCAAAAUCGCUGAGAUCAACGGCAUCAGCGUCCGGGCCUUCUUCCAGUGGUGGUCGAUCACCGGAAUUCGGUCGAGCGGCGACAACUUGGUGUUCGAGGUCGGCAUGGUCUCCGCCAAGUACCCAUCUAAGAACUUCGACGAGAGCCCUGCUUGCGAGGGCCGCCACUCCUCUUCUUAGCAGGGUCUCUAGUUGCGAUGCCUCUCAUAUGCGACGACGCCCAGUUGCCGACUCGAAGACCGAUGCUACUUAAGCAAAUCAAAUUAGGUAUUAAGACAUUUGUUUGAUCCGAACAAUGAAAGGGGCAAUAAGUGAUCCUUCUGUCUUGUAUGUAUACAAGUACUAUUAUAAUAUAUGCCACGGCCUGCAGUGUUGUUACUUUCUUUCGGUUUGACUAAGAAUUGUAAGAUGGUUAGAAAUAUUAAUAUAUUUAUCUUUUAACAUUGGUUUGACUGUCUAAUUAUUUGUUUAUUGCCUUAUGGCUUUGAGGAAUAAGCAUGAUUAGUAUUUUAAUA